rnacentral:rRNA from 1 species
GGGGAAUUUUGGACAAUGGGGGAAACCCUGAUCCAGCCAUCCCGCGUGUGCGAUGAAGGCCUUCGGGUUGUAAAGCACUUUUGGUAGGGAAGAAAAGGCUCUGGUUAAUACCCGGAGCUGCUGACGGUACCUGCAGAAUAAGCACUGGCUAACUACGUGCCAGCAGCCGCGGUAAUACGUAGGGUGCAAGCGUUAAUCGGAAUUACUGGGCGUAAAGCGUGCGCAGGCGGUUUGGCAAGAAGGAUGUGAAAUCCCAGGGCUUAACCUUGGAACUGCAUUCUUAACUGCCAGGCUAGAGUAUGUCAGAGGGGGGUAGAAUUCCGCGUGUAGCAGUGAAAUGCGUAGAGAUGCGGAGGAAUACCGAUGGCGAAGGCAGCCCCCUGGGAUAAGACUGACGCUCAUGCACGAAAGCGUGGGGAGCAAAC